rnacentral:lncRNA from 1 species
GCAGAGCCUUGAGUGAUGGCUUUGAUUGGGGAGCUGGACAGACGCUCCCCGAACCUUCUAAAACCUGUUGCGGCGCGAGGGGAAAGAGAGGCAGAAACCCUAGGGUUUCAUGCCUCGGUAUAAUGGUUUGGGCCAGUUGGGCCACUGUUGUUUAGGUCUAAUUUAGGUCUGCUGAGUAGUAACCGGGUAAAUGGUUUUUGGGCUAAUUGGGUUAUAGGUGUAACGGGCUUUGGGCUUAUCAGGCUUUGAGGCCUGUUUAUUUGUAAAUUGACUUUAAUGGACAUUUUAAAUAAACACUUAUUUAUUUAAUUUUUUUAUUCUAUUUCUAGCCCGGUCAAAUUUGGGCUAUUACAGCUGCCCCUCUUUGCUCAUUGCUGUGUAACGAGAAUCGAGCAAAGAUUUAGAAAGAUCAAAUUUGACCGGUCUUAUCAAAUCAUGGUCUUCAAUCUGCUUUUUGCCAACUUAUGACUGUCACGUUGAUAUCUUCGAUCUACUCUUUGCCGAACACAGAGAUGCUAAAUCUGCUUCUUUGAUUUGUUCUCUGACAGUACAGAGAUGCCAAAUUAUCUUAGAUUUGCUUCAACGUAAACACAUGAAAGCCAAAUCAGCUACGUCUUCGAUUUGUUCCUUGUAAGUACAAGGAUACCAAACCAUCUUGGAUCUGCUUCAGCAUAAACAUCUGAAGGUGAGAUCUGCUAUAUGUCUGCCUUCCAUCAAAGUGAAAAUGCCAGACUUCGAUUUGUUCUAUGACAAAAAACCAGAGGCGACAAAUCAUCUUAGAUUUGCUUCAGCGUAAACACGUGAAAGCCAAAUCAGCUAUGUCUUCGAUUUACUCAUUGUAAGCAAAAGGAUACCAAAUCAUCUUGGGUCUAUUUGAGAACAUCUGAGAGUCAAAUCUGCUAUGUCCUUGAUUUGUUCCUUGUAAACACAAGAAUGUCAAAUCAUCUUAAAUCUGCUUUAGUAUAAGCAUCUGACAGUUAGAUCUGCUAUGUGUCUUCCUUUCAUCGAAUAUGGAGACGCCAAACUUUGAUUUGUUCUCUGGCAAUACAGAGAUGCCAAAUCAUCUUAGACUUGCUUUAAUGUGAACACGUGAAAGCCAAAUCAGCUAUGGUUUCGAUUUGUUCCUUGUAAACACAGGGAUACUAAAUCAUCUUGGAUUUUUUUGAGAACAUCUGAGAGUCAAAUCUGCUAUGUCCUCGAUUUGUUCCUUGUAAACACAAGAAUGCCAAAUCAUCUUGGAUCUGUUUCAGCCAGAUCUGUUAUGCUGCAGCCUAUUACCCUACUGUUUAGGGUAUUAAGGCGCGCCAUCUUUGAUAACCUGUAGAAUGAUUAUGCCUGAUAACUAGGAUGCUAUGAUCGAAGUGAGUCGAAUGUUCCUAAUUAAACAUGUUAUGGUGCAGAAUUUUGUGAACAUGACCCCUAUCCUAGACGUCACCACUCAUUCCUUUAUUUGUCUUUUUAAAGCAUUAUUCUUGCUCAGCCUGUAGGCCUGUACCCUUCCUCCAAUGCUAUGCUCCACUGAGGAUGUCUGUAAAACAAUCUUUCCUUAAAACUGAAUCGUUGGUUUUGUUCAUUUUCCUUUUAGACUGGAAGAAAGAAAUUCCUCAAGUUCCUUCAUCCUUUACUUACGUGAAUUUCUCGAACAAUUGUCCUAUUUUAGUUUCUUGUAUUAUCUAAAAAUUUUCAGAGUAAUGCGCAAAACUUCGUUUGUGAACAUAUUUUAGUUCAUCUAUCAUUAUUUCAAUGCAACAUACUUAAAGAAUAAUAGAAAAUGAAUAAAUCUUUAGGAAUAAUUGGAUUUGAAUGAAUUGUCAAAAAAUACGUACAAAGGAAAUAAAUCUGAUAGCAUAUCUUUGAGAAGAAAUAGAAUCUAAAGAUAGAAAACAGGAUAAAAGUUAGAUGCUCUAAAUAUCGCCGCUUGAGCGUCUAUACACUAGCUCCAUGAAAUCUUUCUCGAGUUCAACAUGUGUUUAAAAAAUCCACAGUACUCUGACGAUGCCCCAGUUUGCAGCAUUCUUCGCUCUUUGUUGUAUUUGAUAUAGCAAGAUCACCAUAUGCCCUUCAAUAUUUGAGCUACCCUUUCGGGUUUUCAACUCAAAAUCCAUUUGGUCACAAGGUGCCCUUUGUGGGUUUUCACCUUGGCCUCUCCAUCAUUCAUUUUUUUAAAUCUCAAGGCGCCCUUUGCGGGUUUUCACCUUGGAUUCUCUUCUCCUUUAGACAAAGUAUUUUUUCUCUGAGUCUGGGUUCACUGGGCUGGGUAAACUUUUCCCAUCCAUUUCUGUUAAGAUCAAUGCACCGCCAGAGAAAGCUUUCUUCACAACAUACGGCCCCUCCCAAUUCGGCAUCCAUUUCCCCCUAUAGUCCUUUUGAAUGGGAAGAAUCUUUUUUAGUACAAGGUCUCCCUCGUGGAACUCUCUGGGUCGAACUUUCUUGUUGUAAGCUUGCAUCAUUCGCUUCUGAUACAUCUGACCAUGUCGAAUGGCUCUUAGCCUUUUUUCCUCAAUCAAGUUCAACUGGUCAUGUCAGGACUGAACCCAUUCAGCUUCAUCUAACCUUAUCUCUGUCAAAACUCGAAGAGAAGGUAUUUCUACUUCAAUAGGUAACACUGCUUCCAUCCCAUAAACUAACGAGAAUGAGGUUGCCCCAGUAGAGGUUCUAACAGAUGUUUGAUAGGCCAGGAGUGCAAACGGUAACUUCUCAUGCCAAUCUCUAUAGGUCUCAGUCAUCUUCCCCACUAUUUUCUUAAUGUUCUUGUUGGCAGCCUCUACUGCCCCAUUCAUUUUUGGACGAUAAGGGGAAGAAUUAUAAUGCUUGAUUUUGAACUAGUCACAAACCUCCGCUAUCGUUUUGUUGUUCAAGUUCAAUGCAUUGUCGGAUAUGAUCUUCUCAGGCAUUCCAUACCGACAAUUGAUCUUUUUCUUCAAGAAUUGACUCACUACUGACUUAGUAACAUUAGCAUAAGAGGCGGCCUCUACCCAUUUUGUAAAGUAGUCAAUUACCAUGAAUAUAAACUGAUGUUCAUUCGAAGCUUUCGGUGAUAUUACUCCAAUAACAUCCAUGCCCCACAUGGAGAAGGGCCAUGGAGAAGUCAUAACAUGUAAAGGUGAAGGUGGUACAUGAAUUUUGUCUCCAUAAAUCUGACACUUAUGGCAUUCCUUGGUAUAGUUGAUACAGUCCCCUUCCAUGGUGGCCCAAUAAUAGCCAAACCUCAUGAUUUGCCUUGCCAUUGUAAACCCAUUUGCAUACGUCCCACAGACACCUUCAUGAACUUCUUCUAAAAUUAGCUUAGCUUCUACAGUAUCGACACAUCUCAAAAGUACUUGGUCUUUCCUUCUCUUGUACAUGAUAUCCCCGUCCAAGACAUAGUCGCAAGCUAACCUUUUCAAAGUUCGUUUGUCAUUUUCAUUGGCCUGUUCAGGGUAUUUACAAUCCCUCACAUAUCGUAAUAUAUCCUGGUACCAAGGGUUAUCAUCCUUUUCUUCCUUUUCAAUGUUGCAACAAUGAGCGGGAGCCUCGUAGACACUCAUUUGAAUUGGUCUCAUCUCUUCUUCUUUAUUUGCCUUAAUCAUUGAGGCCAAGGUUACUAAAGCAUCUGCCAUUUGAUUUUCAUCUCGUGGGAGAUAAUUGAAGGUGAUGUCAUCAAACUCUUAAAGUAACCCUAAAACCACCUUUGAUAAUUAAUCAAUUUAGGGUCCCUUGUCUCCCAUUCACCUCUAAGCUGAUAAAUUACCAACGCAGAAUCUCCAUAUACUUUUAAGGUUGUUAUACCUCGCUCUAUAGCUGCUUGAAGUCCCAUAAUGCAUGCUUCAUACUCAGUCAUAUUGUUUGUGCAAUCAAACUCCAACUUGCACGUGAAAGGAUAAUAAUUGUCAUUCGGGGAUACCAAGACUGGCCCAAUUCCAUUUCUGGCUGCAUUAGAAGCCCUAUCAAAAUUGAGCUUCCAAGAAGAGUCUUCAGUUGUUGCUAUACACAUCAACUCCUUAUUUGGAAAAUCAAAGUUCAAUGGCUCAUAAUUCUCUAAAGCCCUACUGGCCAAGAAAUCUGCUACCACACUUCCUUUUAUAGCUUUCUGACUUAUGUAGACUAUAUCAAACUCUGAAAGCAAAAUUUGCCAUCUCACCAUCCUUCCAUUCAGAGCCGUUGACUCCAUCAUGUAUUUCAAUGGAUCAAGCUUUGAGAUGAGCCAAGUGGUAUGGUAUAGCAUGUAUUGUCUUAAUCUCUGAGUUGUCCAAAUCAGUGUAUAGCACAACUUUUCAAUAGGUGAAUAUCUCAUCUCACAGUCAGUGAAUUUCUUACUGAGAUAAUAAAUUACCUUCUCCUUUUUCCCUGACUCGUCAUGCUGGCCAAGCACACAUCCCAUAGAAUUACUGAACACUGACAAGUACAGUAUUAAUGGUUUAUCUGGGCUAGGUGGAGACAAUACCGGAGCAUUCAAAAAAUACUGCUUGACCUUUUCAAAAGCAUUCUGGCAUUCCUCAUCCCAGGUACCUUGAUUGUGCUUUCUGAGGAGGCGAAAGAUAGGAUCACAUUUCUUAGUUAGUUGUGAAAUGAACCGAGUGAUGUAAUUCAACCUUCCUAGGAAUCCUCAAACUUCCUUCUGAGUAUGUUGUGGAGGUAACUCUCGUAUGGCUCUGACCUUGUCUGAGUCGACUUCAAUUCCCUUUUCACUGACUACGAAGCCUAAUAACUUUCCUGAUCUGGCUCUAAAGGUACACUUUGCUGGAUUGAGCUUCAACCGAAAUUUCCUCAACCUCAAGAACAAUCUUCUCAAGACCUCAAUGUGUUCUUUUUCUGUAUGCAACUUGGCAAUCAUAUAAUCAACGUAUACUUCAAUAUCCUUAUGCAUCAGGUCGUGGAAUAAUUUUACCAUGGCCCGUUGGUAUGUUGCCCAUGCGUUCUUCAGUCCAAACGGCAUUACUUAGUAGCAAAAGGUACCCCAUAAAGUUAUGAAGGUGGUUUUAUCCAUAUCCUCUGGAUGCAUCUUUAUCUGAUUAUCCUGAAAAACCAUCCAUGAAGGAAAACAACGAAUAUCCUGCUAUGUUGUCCACCAAAGUGUCUAUGUGUGGCAGAGGGAAAUUAUCUUUAGGGCUAGCUUUAUUUAAAUCUCUAUAAUCAACACACAUUCUUACCUUCUCGUCUUUCUUCAGAACUGGUACAAUAUUAGCUACCAAUUCAGAGUAUUUCACUUCUUGCAAGAAUCCUGCAUCGAACUGCCUCUUGACUUCAUCCUUUAUUUUCAGAACAAUAUCUGGCCUCAUUCUGCGCAACUUCUGUUGGACUGGCUUACAAUCCUGUCUUAUCGGAAGACGAUGUACUACAAUGUCAGUACUCAAUCCGGGCAUAUCCUGAUAUGACCAGGCGAAGAUAUCCUUGAAUUCUCGAAGCAACUCAACCAGACCAUGCCUUGUGUCCUCGGUAAUCAGUGUUCCAAUUUUUAACUCCUUCCCUUCCUCUAGGGCUAUAUUCUCUAUUGCCUCUUUCUCAUGAGGCAUGAUUUGUUUCUCCUCUUGCUUUACCAUUCUUAACAGAUCAAGAGAUACGUCAUAAUCUUGAACAUCUUCAAAAUCCUGAGGUUCCUCUAAACACAUGUCUUGCUCGCAAGAGAAAUCAGGAGUUGUAGUAUCAAUGCUCAUAUCAUUGAUAUUUAGAGAUCUGAGAAGUAUAAAGAAUAUAAAAAGAAUGAAUGAAUUUAAGAAUAAUUAUUUAUGUACUAUGAAUGAAAGAAUAAGAAUUGUCAAAAUUUGAUGGAAUAUUGAUUGAUAAAAAUGAAGCAAUACUCGUUUGAAUAAAUAAAAAGUUAUGUCUUAUAAAAAAGAUGAUAAAUGAUCAUAAGCCUAUUUCACAAAUGUAAUCUUAUUACUCCUAGGCUUUAGAAUAACAAGAAUGUUUGAGAAUUACUCUGAAAAAUUCCUAAAAACUACAGGAAGUUCUUCUGCAGUCCAAUUGUUCAGAGAGCUUCCCGAUUCGUAAGGGCGAAUGCCCUCAAGGUUUCUUUGCUCUGGUUUUUCGUCAUGCACAGCAUUAAUUUGAUGACUCUUCUCUUCAAGUAAUCCUCUUGACAUGAAGGUUUUAGAUAUAGAAGGGAAUGUCAUCAAUUCCCACCCCACUUCUCUUCCAUCUAAACGCGCCCUUCUCCUUUCUUGGUGCUUCUCAAUGUCCUUCCUCCUUUGCUUAUAGUCUGGUUUGAAGCCCAAACCAAAGCGGUCCUUUUUCUCAAUCAUCUUUGGGAUUUGAAUCCCUCCUUGCAGAUACUUUUCUAAUCCUCUUCCUGGUAAGGCUCCCCUUCCUGCCAUCAUUUGUAGAGCCAUCCUUGUAGCUUUUGCCAUCCUUGGCACUAGUAACUCACUUCCUUCUGAAAUGAAGGUGGCAUUUACAGACUCUAAAGAGCGAAAGGAACACUCAAUAGAUUCUUCAUUCGUCUUGACAUAAGGGGCCUUGCUAGUGAUUGCUGCUAUAAUGUCCUCCUCCGUAUUGAUGGUUAUUAACCAUCCAUCUGUCACUAACUUCAAUUUUUGCUGCAAUGAGGAAGGCACCGCUCCUGCCGAGUGUAUCCAUGGCCUCCCCAAUAAACAAUUAUAAGAGGUCUUGAUAUCCAUCACCAAGAAAUCAACUUCAUAUGUAUUUGGCCUAAUUUCGAAAGGGAUGUCAAUUCGUCCCAUCACUUUUCUCUCGGUUCCAUCGAAGGCUCUUACCACAUUGCAACAUGUUUUCAUAUGCGAACUAUCAAUAGGUAAUCUAUUCAAUGUAGAUAAUGGAAGGACGUUCAAAGCCGACCCGUUGUCAAUGAGUACACUUGGAAGCGUGUAUCCCUUGCACCGAGUAGUGAUGUGCAAUGCCUUGGUUGAUCCUAUGCCCCCAGGUGGGAUUUCAUCAUCAUUGAAGUAAAUGAAAUUGUCCGCGCUAUUAUUAUUCACCAAUCGGUCCAGCUUGUUAAUGGAUAUGUCAUGGGUGACAUAUGUCUCAUAAGCACCUUCAUUAAUGCUUCCCUGUGCACCUCAGAACUCAAAAGUAGAGCCAAUACUGAUAUGCGAGCCGGUUGCUUGCGCAACUACUCAACUACACUAUACUCGCUAUGCUUAAGGAACUUCAGAAAUUCCUUAGCCUCCUCCUCCUUUACCUGCUCAUUGACAGGCAUUUCAACUUCUUUUUCCUUCUCCACACUAGCAUUCUUGUUUUUGUGGACUCAUCUCUGAUGCUUACCGUAUCAUACCACUUUCCACUCCGUGUAUGAGAACCCUCAAUUUGUACAUCCUUGGAGGAACUGGCUACAUCUUCUUUCUCCGAUAAUGACACAUGGUAAUUAUAACUCCAUGGUACCCUUUUGUUAUCCUUAUAAGGAAAGGAUACAGGUUUAUGGAUUACGACCUUGGGCCUAGUUUACGCCCCUACUUCAUUAUUCCCCUGCAAGGAAAUAAUAAUUCUUGGCCGGCUGGUUCCUUUUUGUUUAUCUUCCAAUGUAUUUAUUUCUCUUUUAUAAGAGCUACCUUCAAAAACUUGCAACUCUUUAUUAUCAAUGAAGCCUUGCACUAAGGCUUUGAAUUUUUCACAAUUUUGGGUCUCAUGACCCUCUUUUCCAUGGAGCUCAUAGUAGUUCCUCAGUUCUUCUCUUUCUUUCUCAGAGGUUAUCAUCCCUCUCUUCACCAUCUCUUUCCAAAUUACCCUCAAAGGCAUUCUCACCUCAGCAACAUUUUCCCUGAUUAUUCCUUCCCUAGUUUCAUCGAUGGCAUUCACUCCUUGAUUGCCAUGAUCUGGUAAUGGAUUUUCAGCGUUAGGGGUACUGUUGAAUCUCACAACCCCCAUCUUGAUAAGCCUCUCCACGACCUUCUUAAAUCCAGUGCAAUUUUCAAUUGAAUACCCCGGUAUUCCCACAUGAUAUUCGCAUUUAGCAUUUGUAUCAUACCACUUGGGGUAUGGUAGCUGUAGCGGUUUCAAGUGAAAUAGAGCAAUGGCGUGUGCAUCGUAUAAGCUUUGAUAAAGCUCACUAUACGUCACAGGGAUAGUUGUGAAUUGUAUCCUCUCUAAAUUCAGUCUUGAUCCUGAUUCCUGUCUUUGAGUACUUUGCUGCCCACCCGUACUGUGACUGCCUUCGAAUUGAAGCUACUUGUGUUGUUCACCUCAUUGUCUUUUCUUCUUGGGGCCGAUAUUUUGGCUACUUCCCCCUCAAUUUUGCCACCCCUUAUGGCAUUCUCAAUCAUUUCUCCUGCCAUGACGAUGUCUGCAAAACUUUUGGUAGUGUUUCCAAUCAUGUGAGUAAUGAAUGGAGCUUUUAAAGUGUUGAUGAACAACAUGAUGGUUUCUUUCUCCAACAGUGGUGGUUGAACCUGCAUUACCACCUUUCUCCAUCUCUGUGUGUAUUGCCUGAAAUUUUCAUUAGGCUUUUUUUCCAUGUUUUGCAGGGUGAUCCUAUCAGGGAUCAUGUCAGUCACAUGAUUGUACUGCUGCAUGAAGGCUUGUGCAAGAUCCUUCCAUAAACUUAUUCUAGCCCGGCUCAACUGAUUGUACCACCUGGCUGUCGCUCCUACUAAACUGUCUUGGAAAUAAUGGAUCAACAGCUGAUCAUUGUUUACGUACCCGGUCAUUCUUCUACAGAACAUCAUAACAUGAGCCACUGGGCAAGUAGUCCCGUUGUAUUUUUCAAACUCUGGCAUCAUAACAUGAGCUGCUCAAUCCAUAGCUCAUAGCCCUGUAGUGUUGCUUCCAACCUUCCGAUAUCAUGUUUCAUUUCCUCGAUCUUAUUCAAGCUUGCCUAUAACUCGAUUGCAAGGUUACGACUUCGGUGAUGAUGAAGAGAUCGUCCAAGUUCAGCCACCUUAGUUUUUAAUCCUUGAUUUUCCUUCUCUAGGGCCUGAUUACACGACUGCAUCUCUUGGAACUUCUUCUCCCAAUACUCGGCCUUGGCUCGUUCUUCUUGAAUCUCUUGUUGCCAUUGUUCUGAAGAUCUCCCUAGUCUGACCCUUUUCAGUGUCAUUUGAGCUUUCUUAUAAUGUGUCUUUAGGUCAUCUCGAUAUUCCUUGACCUUUCUCUUUUCCUUUUUCAUCUUCUCGACUUCCAUCUUUUGAAUGUCAACAUCGAGACUUAAGCACAUUUUCUCCUCUUCGAGCUUCUCAAUCCUCUUUUCUAGUUCUGAAUUCUUUCUCUCGAACUCUUGCUUCAUAACCUCCAACUCCGAUGGGAUCACUCGUAAGUUCUCCUCUAAUGAUCGAGCCUCUCCCAAAAUCGGCCUAGGGAUAUUAUCGUUGAAUCUCUUACUAAACCAGCCCUUAUACUCGAGGGUUGACGUCGAACCUUCAGUCAAAAUCUUCAUACAUAAAGGCUUCUUCCAAGCCUCAGAAAUCUCUCGCAUCCUCUUUUUAUAGUGAUCUCCUUUGUAAGAGAAAUCACUUUGAGCUAGACCCUGUGUAGCCGGUAUGAACUGCCUUGCUCGAUAUUACCUUAAAACAAGCAACGGUGUAUAUCCAACAACUCCCCAAAUUCCUAGCAAAGGGACCCAAUCAAAACUGCCGCAUCGGUAAAGGACUUCACUAGGAACUAACCAAGGAGCCUUCCACAUAAUAUCUUCCUCUCGAAGAUUCUGAAGAAUGUCUAACCAUCUCUCCUCUGAAAUGUCAUCUCUCCUAAGUAUGUCCACUGCUUCCUUUAAGGGAGAAUAACCCUCAAAGAAAACUCGGCAAGGAACCCUAUCGAGCUUCCAGAAGUGACUAUGAAACCAAACUAACAACAACUGUGCACAUCCAAUGAAUCUUCCUUCACCAGCUCUUCGACAUGCGCUCAAGGAUCUUAUCGUCUCAGCUAGGAUCGCAGGCACAGGCGUAUUCUGUUUACUAAGUCGAUCAAACAAAUCUACGACCGACUCAUCUAUGUGCCCCAACGCCUUCGGGAAGAUCACCAUGCCAUAAAUGCUCAAAGCCAGGACAUCGACCUUUUUCUUCACAUCUGGAUGUGUCAAUAUCAAAUCCCUCAAAACGGCCUACGGAAUGCACUUACUAUCGCCCUUUUGAUACACACGAGCUACAGCCCACUGCUCACUCAUCCCAGUAAUCAUCACCAAUUUCUUCGUAAAAGUUGGAAGGCUAGCAGGCCUAACAUAAGCCUUGUAACUAUGAAUCUUUGAACAACGCAGUAAAUUCGUAUACUCCUCUAAAGUAGGUACAAGAUCAACAUCACCAAAUGUAAAGCAACUAUAAGCAGGGUUCCAGAACUGUACCAUAGCUCGAAACAAGUGUCUAUCUAUCUUGACGUCUAGCAAAUAUGGAAGGUCUCCAUAACUCUGAUAGAAAAGCUGCUUAGCAUCAUCAUCCCACUGAGCCCAAAUGUUUCUCAGCUCAUGCAACUCAUUCUGCGUCGAAUUAACACGAGUGAAGUCCCGUAACUCUGACGUAUACCCCUCGGUGACAUUAUCUCCUUUCUCUAACUGGGUUUUCUCUGACCAGGUACAUACAAAAGCUUUGUCCUCCACUUUAUUAAGGUAUUCGUUCCUCAUUACAAAACUUUUUAAUCUAGAAAUCGAGCCUUGAAUCGACACCUUUAAAUGCGGAAUGACAUGCAAUGACAACAAAAAAAAACAAUAAGUCAGUAUCAUAUAUAUAGGAAAAUGAUAAACAAAUCCUUAUAAGGGCAAUUUUCUAAAGGUUAUCACUAUUAUCCCUAGGAUAAGCACUUAAAAGUUCACUAUAUGAGUUUUUGUUCUAAAGCAAAGGUACCUGAACCAGCAGAUUCCUCGGUCCUCACCCACUAUAGGCUCAUAUAGACCAAGUUCAGUUCAGGGGGACACUUUUCCCUAUGACCAUGCGAAGAUGAAAAUCUCACGAAGACAUAGGUAGAGUAUCCCGGAAGCAAUCCACUAGCUCGUACGAAGGUGAAAACCUUACGAAAGCGUAGCUUCUCGCUCCCACUUAAGGGUAUGACCACAACGGUCGUGAAAAUGUAAUGUAUAGUAAUAAAGUAACAAACAUAUGAAGCAAACACAUGUAAAAAGAUUUAAGUGUUCCAAACUUCUGACAUUAAGUCAAAAAUACUCAAUUUCUUGGCUUGACUCUCUUGAUUCCCCAGUGGAGUCGCCAAGCUGUCGAAACCAUUUUUUUAAAGAGGUUUGAAAAACGGGGAUCGAGGUUUGAAAAACAAAAAUGGGAGUCGCCACCAAUCUUUUAAAGUGUGAUUGGAUCACUAUACAAAACGUUUUGGUCUACGAAAUUGUGAGAAAACAGGUUCAGGAGUCGGUUACAUUCGAGGAAGGAUUAGCACCCUCGUAACACCCAAAAUUGGUACCAAAUUAGAUAAUUUUUGUCUCAAUGUCAGAAUUUUGAAAAUAUUUUUAAAAAAUAAGGUUUCCUUAUUUUCGUAAUAAUUCAAAUUAAGAGAAUUGAGAUUCAUUCGCUUUGAAGGAAUCAUAAAUAUCACAUCCAGCAUAAUUGGACACGAUACCUUUAAACUUUCGUAGCUAAAAUCAUCUCAUGAUUUAUAAAACUUGCUUAAAAAGGAUAUUUUAGAUAUUUAGAUAAACGGGAAAUUGCAACCCAGCAUGUUAGGGCACUAUUUCUGAAAUAUCUAAACAUCCAAAACAUUGCCUCGUUCAUUUUCUAAAAGUUCCUUUUAAUGACUAUUGGUUUCAAAAAUAAUGAUAUGUUUCACAUAUUAUAUGAAAUUAAAUACAAUAUAUAUAUGCUUUAUCAUUUCAUGCAAAUAUAAUAAAGGUGACGAACAAGGAUAUAAAUUACCUAAUAUGCUAUUAUUUCAUGCAUGAUCAUAAAUAGUAUCAUUACAUAUACAAUACAAUGUAGAAUAUAAUGAAUUCAAUAAUAUAAAUUGUAUACCGCACACAUAACAAUAUUUUAUGCAAAUAAAUAUCUAAAUUAUAAUAAUUAACUAAUUUUAUGUGAAUAUAAAAAGCAAGAAUAAAAUGAUGUAUAAAAUUUAACAUAUUAUACAAUAUCAAAUAAAAGUGAGUCUGAAAAUAAGCUAUUAAACGUAAAAAUAUAAAAUGGCUAUUUAAAAAUAAUAAAAAAUGAUAAAGUGAACCCCUUUUUUAAAACAAAGAAUGCAUAUGUAAAGAUUAUAUUUAAAGCAUAAUAACUUAGUAUAUAAGAAAAAAUAAUGUACUAGAUAUUACUAUAUAUUUUUUAAAAGAAAUGAAGAAUGUAUUAAUAAGUAAUAAUAUAUAUUUUGUAAGGUAAUAUAGGAACUAUGAUAAAAUAUAAUGUAUAAUAUGAUCUAUAAAUAAAAAUAUAUAAUAAUAUAGCACAUAGCAAUAAUAAUAUGCGUAAUAAAAUAUUUGAUAUAAUGUAAAGAAUAUAUAAUAAUAAUUUAAUAGGUAUUUUCAUACUAAAACAUAGUAAAAUGGUUAAUACAUAUAGGAAAACUCAUAAUAUUUAUAAAUAAAAACAUAUAAUAACAUAAUAUAAAUAGCAGUAUAUAAUAAAAUAUAUAAUAUGAUAGUAUAAUAUUUAGAAUAUAUAACAAUAAUAUAAAAUAUAGUAAAUAAAGAUAUAAUAUAAUACAAAAUAAAUAAUAUAUACAUAAAAUAUAUUAGAUGAUAAAAAUAAUAUUUUAUGAUUGAUAUUUAAAAAGUAAUAUAUAAGGUAUUUAAAACAAAAGGACUAAAUUGGAUUUAAUUAAGAAAUCUGGGGUUAAUUUGUAAAAUAAAAAAAUAUUUGGAUUUGAUUAAAACGUUCAUUGAAAGUCGAGGGACUCAUUGGGUAAUUAAACCCUAAUCCUAAAAACGACUUCGUUUCCUGAAUAUACCUCGAAAAUCUAUUGGGACUAAAUUGAAUUAAAAUUAGAAUACUGAGGUUAUAUUAAAAAAUAAUUAAAAUGAAAUUAUGAGAAAUUAAAAGUUGAGAGGACUGAUUGGAUAAUUAAUCCAUUUUGCAAAAACGUGCUGAUCCUCCCCGGGUGAUCGGGUCAACGCGCGGAUCCUCCGUUGAAAUGACGCCGUUUAAGUGCUUAUUGAAUUAAGCCAAACGACGUCGUAUUACAGGGGCUAUAUAAGCCAAAUUUUGCACCUAAAAAUCAUUUUAACAUUCGGUUUUUAAAAAAAUAAACGAAAUCCUCUGAAAGAGGACUCGAGGGCCGAUCCCGAUGCUGUUGAACCUCCGUCCAGGGGUUUCCUCACGUGCUCACGCGCCACCACACACGGUGGUCGGAGGGUCAAAAAACCUUCACCAUUUUCAGCGAAAACCAGGUAAUCCCUUUCCCUUUUUACUAUUUGUAAUAUAUAUUAAAAAUAUUCACCUUUACACUCAAGUAGCUACAGGUACUGUAAGUUAGUAAUACUGUGCUCUGUUGAAUCUGUAUGUAUAUUUCUCUCUGGAAAAUCGUGUCUUACAAAUCAGAAAAAGAUGGGUUUUUAUAACCCUUUGUAAGUGAUUUACAAUCUGGGAAAGAAAUCUUUUGAUUUCUUUCUAUAUUUUGCCCCUGUUUUCUGUUGUGAUUUUUUCAUUUUGCAGAUGUCUCGCGAGAAAUCCAGUGAUGGAAGGGUCACUAGCGUUGAUGGAGGCCUGAAGUCUGGUGGUGGUGUCGGUGAGGUGUUGAUUACGGAGGCAGAGCCUUGAGUGAUGGCUUUGAUUGGGGAGCUGGACAGACGCUCCCCGAACCUUCCAAAACCUGUUGCGGCGCGAGGGGAAAGAGAGGCAGAAACCCUAGGGUUUCAUGCCUCGGUAUAAUGGUUUGGGCCAGUUGGGCCACUGUUGUUUAGGUCUAAUUUAGGUCUGCUGAGUAGUAAUCAGGUAAAUGGUUUUUGGGCUAAUUGGGUUACAGGUGUAACGGGCUUUGGGCUUAUCAGGCUUUGAG